GCCGCCGGCCUCAAAUCAAAUUACAGGUGCCAAAAUGGCUUUUGACGAAAUAGUUGAAGUCAGUAGUCAACAAAUCAAAAUGCCAAAACUACCCUCGAUAUUUACUCUCUUUUAUUUAUUUUCGUAUCCUUCCUCGACAAAUCUGAAAAAGCGACGAAAGCUCUAGGCAAAGCCACCUCCCACCACAUCCACCAUCUCUCUCUCUCCCUCUCUGCUUUGCUUUUCUCCCCUGCUUUCCGUUUACCACAACUCUUCAAUUUUGAGUUUUAGAUCCAUAAAAAAAAAUUACAUUUAAUUUAUCCUUUUUUUGCGCUCUGAUAUGGAACGGAUCAUCGGUGGAAAGUACAAGCUUGGCCGCAAGAUCGGUAGUGGAUCCUUCGGUGAAAUAUAUCUAGCUACUCAUAUCGAUACGUUUGAGAUCGUUGCUAUUAAGAUAGAGAACAGUAAAACAAAGCAUCCACAGUUGCUUUACGAGGCGAAGUUAUAUAAUAUUCUUCAAGGAGGAAGCGGUAUUCCUAGUAUCAAAUGGUCAGGAGCAGACGGGGAGGACAAUGUACUUGUGCUAGAUUUGUUAGGACCGAGUCUGGAGGACCUGUUUGUGUAUUGUGGGAGGAAGUUCUCACUCAAGACUGUGUUAAUGUUGGCUGAUCAAAUGAUUACCAGGAUAGAAUAUGUGCACUCUAAAGGAUUUCUGCACAGAGAUAUAAAACCUGAUAACUUUCUCAUGGGUCUUGGUCGAAAGGCAAAUCAGGUUUACAUAAUUGAUUUUGGGCUUGCAAAAAGAUAUCGAGAUGCAUCAACCAAUCGUCAUAUUCCUUACAGGGAGAACAAAAACUUAACAGGAACUGCACGAUAUGCCAGUUGCAAUACUCAUCUUGGAAUUGAACAAAGUCGGCAGGAUGAUUUAGAGUCACUUGGCUACGUGCUGUUAUAUUUUCUGAGAGGGAGUCUUCCAUGGCAGGGUUUAAAAGCUGCCACAAAGAAGCAGAAAUACGACAAAAUAUGUGAAAAGAAGUUAUCAACUCCUAUUGAGGUUCUGUGCAAAUCCCAUCCUGUGGAGCUUGCUUCAUAUAUGCAUUAUUGCCAUUCGCUGACAUUUGAUCAACGGCCUGAUUAUGGAUUCUUGAAACGCUUGUUUCGUGAUCUAUUUUCCCAUGAAGGAUAUGAAUUUGAUUAUGUGUUUGAUUGGACAAUCAUAAAGUAUCAGCAGGCACAAAAGAAUAGAUCUCAACCUCGGUCAUCUCCAAAUCCUGGGGUAUGUAGCAGUCAUGCAGUGCAGACAGACAUGGAGAAUCAUCAAGGAAGUCAUAAUGCCUGUUAUUCAUCUGAGAUCAUGCGAUCAACUGGUCCUGGCAUACGCAUGCAAUCAAAAUCAGGGAUGGGAAAGAAUCUGAUUUCUGAUAUUCAUGCUGACAAGAACAUUGUGAGUGAACACAUACCAUCCACUUCAUUUCAAGUUGGUGGGACAUCAAAACGACAUGCCUCAAAGCCUGUUCUGCCAACUGAAAGUGCUAAGCCUGCUCAUGGACACAACAAUAAAAUUGGUCCUUCCAGUAGCUGGAUAUCAUCAUUGCAACGCAUUCAUUCUGCAAAGUGAGCAAGAUGGUGCUGAUGAAGAGAAAUGAGAUAAGCAUACUAUGGUCCUUGCUGUCCUUUUUGUAACACUUCUUCAUUGCAGCCUUAUUUUGGCCUUCUUUUUUUCUGUCCUGUGUCUUUUUCUUCAGCCUGCAUUUGAUAUGCGACUCAUCUGUCCUUGUCUUGAUUUUAACCUUCCUGUUUCUUAAAAUAUAAUUUCCUUGAUUGCUCAGGUUCACCGAAAAUCAUAAGUUUAUUCAGUUCUAUUAAGUUGAUGUCCACAAGGUUAUAUGAACCUGUAGCAAAUUGAUAUUCAUGCUGUAAACUGUUCUAAUCGUCUCUCUAUUACUAGUUCAUACUUGGGAUGGCAAUUGAAGACCAUAAAACAAAUGUUUCUUUGAUGUUUACCAUUACUUGGGUUGGAAGAGGUUGCCUGACUGCUGACCAGGGAAGAUGUUAAUGACAUUUUCCUGCUGGUGUAUUAGGUGGAUCCACGUUUCUGCAAGUUGGUAGUUUCUUCAGCAUGUUUGUGCAGUCAAGUUGCAUCUUUAAUGCAACUGGCAGAUUGUGAAAUUGGUCAUUUUCUUGUGAAAGUAGAAAUAAGCCUUUGCCGUGAUAAAGCCAAGGAGCAUCAGAUGUAAGAAUCAUUAUGUAGGUUGGGCUGGUUGUAAUUGCUCUAAGAACGGAGCCAGCAACAUAAUCAGCCAUUUUGGUAAUCAUAUGAUUUGAAAUUGCGGCUUCUAGUCAAAGCCGCAGACGCAGAAUACAGGAUGGGGAAUGGGAUAGUGGUAUAUUCUCAGUCUAUUCAAUUUGUCAUUUACACUACUGGAGUAAUUGCUUGCAUGGGUGUUCCCCGCAUGUGUUUGUAUGUGCUUGGGAUUGGUGCAGUUGGGAGAUUUGGCACGCCCAUGAUCAUUUUCAGCUACUGAGGCAGUAUCUUUGGUCCUUGAAGAGCCUCUUCAUACAAUAUUACUAAAAUUAAGAUGUUUUGACUUUGCGAAGCAUGAGUGUGCUGGGUUUCAGCAUUUGCCUGGACAGUUCUAUAGAAUUCUAUGUGAUGCCUUGAGGGGCAUAUCAUGCUAUUUGAUAUGGUUGUGAUCAUUGACUUAGAGUACUCCGCUAAUGUGCCAUGAAUGUUCUCGUGGGGCAGUUUGAAGAUCUCGUUAAAUUGAAGCACUGAUAUGACCAUGUGAGAAAACGGGAAUCCUCCACUGGAAGGUCUUCGAGAUAGUGUGUGCAAAGCUUACUCGGCCUCUUUUUGUUUUUUAGUGCUAAGAAUUUGUACUGCGUUUGUAUCUCAUGCUGCCAUGAAACAAUCCGGCAAGUGUUCUUCGGUGGUAAAUACUUGAUUAUCUCCAAAAUCUCAACCGUCCUCUCCCUUCAAGCCAGGAAGUAAGAGGAAGUGCAUGAAGACUGCUGGCUAAGAUCCAUAUAAGGGUUUUCCUGGGAUCUGAAUGUUAUCUGGGUUCUGAUAGAGAAGCCUGUGCCAAAAAUGACAAUCCUUACAGGGUAAGUAUAGCGUGCGCUCUUCACGAAAUUCAUGGAGGUCAUCUUGUUGUGUUCUCCCUGGGUGUGCUGCUACUUCUCCACCAAGGUGCUCAGGGACUCGGCGGUAGUCUGUCGUGGUAAUGUACGUUAGAAGCAGGAAAGAUGGGAGGCUUGGUUGAAUUAAGGGCGGAGGAAAUUAUUCCUUGGCAGAUAAAAAUAAAUGUUAGUCUAAAGUAAUGGAGCCAUGAUAUACUAGAUUGGGACCUGUGCUGAGUGCCUGUUUAUUGGAUCUACCGUUUCCGUUGAA